rnacentral:rRNA from 1 species
AGCGUUGUCCGGAAUUAUUGGGCGUAAAGCGCUCGUAGGCGGUCUGUUGCGUCGGGAGUGAAAACUCAGGGCUUAACCCUGAGCCUGCUUCCGAUACGGGCAGACUAGAGGUAUGCAGGGGAGAACGGAAUUCCUGGUGUAGCGGUGAAAUGCGCAGAUAUCAGGAGGAACACCGGUGGCGAAGGCGGUUCUCUGGGCAUUACCUGACGCUGAGGAGCGAAAGUGUGGGGAGCGAACAGG